rnacentral:rRNA from 1 species
GACGGAGGAUGCAAGCGUUAUCCGGAAUUAUUGGGCGUAAAGCGUCCGCAGGUGGCUGUUCAAGUCUGCUGUCAAAGCGCAGAGCUUAACUCUGUACAGGCGGUGGAAACUGAAGAGCUAGAGUAUGGUAGGGGUAGAGGGAAUUCCCGGUGUAGCGGUGAAAUGCGCAGAUAUCAGGAGGAACACCGGUGGCGAAGGCGGGUCUCUGGGCAACUACUGACGCUGAGGAGCGAAAGCGUGGGGAGCGAACAGG